UACAGAGGGUGCAAGCGUUAAUCGGAGUUACUGGGCGUAAAGGGCGCGUAGGCGGUAGAUUAAGUGAGAUGUGAAAUCCCUGGGCUUAACCUAGGAACUGCAUUUUAAACUGGUUUACUAGAGUACUGUAGAGGGUAGUGGAAUUUCCGGUGUAGCGGUGAAAUGCGUAGAGAUCGGAAGGAACACCAGUGGCGAAGGCGGCUAUCUGGACAGAUACUGACGCUGAGGCGCGAGAGCGUGGGGAGCAAACAGG
rnacentral:rRNA from 1 species